GGAGUAUGGGCCGUGUCUCAGUCCCAUUGUGGCUGAUCAUCCUCUCAAACCAGCUACUGAUCGUCGCCUUGGUGGUCCAUUACACCCCCAACUAGCUAAUCAGAUGCAGACUCAUCCUUUAGCGAUAAAUCUUUCACGAAUAGUAUCCCAACUACGCGCAUAUGGGGUAUUAGCAGAAGUUUCCCUCUGUUGUCCCCCACUAAAGGGCAGAUUCUCUACAUAUUACUCACCCGUCCGCCACUUUCCUCCGGUGCAAGCACCGGAUUCUCGUUCGACUUGCAUGUAUAAGACACGCCACCAGCGUUCGUU
rnacentral:rRNA from 1 species